GAUGAACGCUGGCGGCGUGCCUAAUACAUGCAAGUCGAGCGAACAGACGAGGAGCUUGCUCCUCUGACGUUAGCGGCGGACGGGUGAGUAACACGUGGAUAACCUACCUAUAAGACUGGGAUAACUUCGGGAAACCGGGGCUAAUACCGGAUAAUAUAUUGAACCGCAUGGUUCAAUAGUGAAAGACGGUUUUGCUGUCACUUAUAGAUGGAUCCGCGCCGCAUUCGCUAGUUGGUAAGGUAACGGCUUACCAAGGCAACGAUGCGUAGCAGACCUGAGAGGGUGGUCGGCCACACUGGAACUGAGACACGGACCAGACUCCUACGGGAGGCAGCAGUAGGGAAUCUUCCGCAAUGGGCGAAAGCCUGACGGAACAACGCCGCGUGAGGGAUGAAGGUCUUCGGAUCGGAAAACUCUGUUAUUAGGGAAGAACAAAUGUGUGAGUAACUAUGCACGUCUUGACGGUACCUAAUCAGAAAGCCACGGCUAACUACGUG
rnacentral:rRNA from 1 species